ensembl:lincRNA
GAAGAGGGUUCAGCUAACUAUACAUUUGUUCCAGGCUCCAGCCCCCCUCCGAUUCCACAGAAAGUGAAGACAGCUUCCAACUGCCCAUCUCAGGAGGGGAAACUGUCGGUUUCAAAUGUCUGGAAGGCUUGGUCCUGCGUCUGUCUGGGGCGCUCGGCUCAGCGCUGGCCGCCUGGUGGCAGCACCUUCCACUGCCACUCAGCACCCAGGCUGCUCCUGGGGAGCACGGGGACCUCGCCUGUCCCCUGGCAACACCGCAUGGGCCAGCAACCUCAGGAGCGGCACCGAGAAUUAAGGGCAGGGGAGACAAGCGUAGAUAACCACCUGCCGAAAUCAGGUCAAGCCCAUCAGGCGUUCCUGGGCAAUAACGCCAAGUUCAAAUCCCCAUACCUAGAGAAGGCGAGCGGCCGCGGCUUCUCCUCUCAAACCUGUCUGUCUUCUCAGAACCUUGCAAGAACGCUGACCACACUUUUCUGCAGCCAAUGAGCAAUCAGAAGAGCUAUGGGAAGACCCCUUCCUCAAC